UGGGGCGUGGCCAAGUGGUAAGGCAUCGGUUUCUGGUACCGAUAUCGGGGGUUCGAAUCCCUCCGCCCCAGCCA
rnacentral:tRNA from 1 species